rnacentral:rRNA from 1 species
AUGAACGCUGGCGGCGUGCCUAAUCCCUGCCAGUCGAGCGAACAGACGAGGAGCUUGCUCCUCUGACGUUAGCGGCGGACGGGUGAGUAACACGUGGAUAACCUACCUAUAAGACUGGGAUAACUUCGGGAAACCGGAGCUAAUACCGGAUAAUAUAUUGAACCGCAUGGUUCAAUAGUGAAAGACGGUUUUGCUGUCACUUAUAGAUGGAUCCGCGCCGCAUUAGCUAGUUGGUAAGGUAACGGCUUACCAAGGCAACGAUGCGUAGCCGACCUGAGAGGGUGAUCGGCCACACUGGAACUGAGACACGGUCCAGACCCCUACGGGAGGCAGCAGUAGGGAAUCUUCCGCAAUGGGCGAAAGCCUGACGGAGCAACGCCGCGUGAGUGAUGAAGGUCUUCGGAUCGUAAAACUCUGUUAUUAGGGAAGAACAAAUGUGUAAGUAACUAUGCACGUCUUGACGGUACCUAAUCAGAAAGCCACGGCUAACUACGUG